rnacentral:misc_RNA from 1 species
UUUCCGUAGGUGAACCUGCGGAAGGAUCAUUACUGUAUCGGGGUGCCCCCCCUCUCGCUCCGGCGGGUUGCGGGUGCACCUUACCUUACAACCCUUGUCUAUGAGCACCUCUUGUUUCCUCGGCGGGUUCGCCCGCCAGAGGACCUACCUAAAACCCUUUGCAAUACCUGCAGUACUGUCUGAUAGCGAAAGCAAUUUAAAUCAAAACUUUCAACAACGGAUCUCUUGGUUCUGGCAUCGAUGAAGAACGCAGC